CCAAUAGCGUAUAUUAAAGUUGUUGCAGUUAAAAAGCUCGUAGUUGAAUUUCGGGACUAAUAUGUCGGUCGUACUUUGUACGUACUAGCAUUAUUGGUUUCUCCCUUCUGACGAACCACGAUGUCAUUAAUUUGGUGUCGUGGGAAAUCAGGACUGUUACUUUGAAAAAAUUAGAGUGUUUAAAGCAAGCUCGCGCUUGAAUACAUUAGCAUGGAAUAAUGAAAUAGGACGUUUGAUUCUAUUUUGUUGGUUUCUAGGAUCGACGUAAUGAUUAAUAGGGAGAGUUGGGGGCAUUAGUAUUCAAUUGUCAGAGGUGAAAUUCUUGGAUUUAUUGAAGACUAACUACUGCGAAAGCAUUUGCCAAGGAUGUUUUCAUUAAUCAAGAACGAAAGUUAGGGGAUCGAAGACGAUCAGAUACCGUCGUAGUCUUAACCAUAAACUAUGCCGACUAGGGAUCGGAUGAUGUUAAUUUUUUAAUGACUCAUUCGGCGCCUUACG
rnacentral:rRNA from 1 species